rnacentral:rRNA from 1 species
GACGAACGCUGGCGGCGUGCUUAACACAUGCAAGUCGAACGGAAAGGCCCUGCUUUUGUGGGGUGCUCGAGUGGCGAACGGGUGAGUAACACGUGAGUAACCUGCCCUUGACUUUGGGAUAACUUCAGGAAACUGGGGUUAAUACCGGAUAGGAGCUCCUGCUGCAUGGAGGGGGUUGGAAAGUUUCGGCGGUUGGGGCUGGACUCGCGGCUUAUCAGCUUGUUGGUGGGGUAGUGGCUUACCAAGGAUUUGACGGGUAGCCGGCCUGCGAGGGUGACCGGCCACAUUGGGACUGAGAUACGGCCCAGACUCCUACGGGAGGCAGCAGUGGGGAAUAUUGCACAAUGGGCGGAAGCCUGAUGCAGCAACGCCGCGUGCGGGAUGACGGCCUUCGGGUUGUAAACCGCUUUCGCCUGUGACGAAGCGUGAGUGACGGUAAUGGGUAAAGAAGCACCGGCUAACUACGUG